UCCAAUUGAAAUAGAGGACAGUGGCGGACGGGUGAGUAACGCGUGAGGAACCUGCCUUUCAGAGGGGGACAACAGUUGGAAACGACUGCUAAUACCGCAUGACACAUAGGUGUCGCAUGGCACUUAUGUCAAAGAUUUAUCGCUGAUAGAUGGGCUCGCGUCCGAUUAGCUAGUUGGUGAGGUAACGGCCCACCAAGGCGACGAUCAGUAGCCGGACUGAGAGGUUGACCGGCCACAUUGGGACUGAGACACGGUCCAAACUCC
rnacentral:rRNA from 1 species